rnacentral:sRNA from 1 species
UUAAAUCCGUUGAGGACUGGCCUACAG